CGGAGAUGUUCGGCGGGGAGGAGGUGCUCAGUGCCUCUCGAGACGGGAAGGCGGUCAGACAGGGCUUCGUGGGCAAGUCGUAAACACUUGGUAAAACCCAAGAAGACCCAGAGGGAAGGAGUCAGCCAACUGUCGGUAAGUCACUCUAAUCACGUGAGGAAACUGCAUAAAAA
rnacentral:lncRNA from 1 species